rnacentral:rRNA from 1 species
UACGUAGGGUGCGAGCGUUGUCCGGAAUUAUUGGGCGUAAAGAGCUCGUAGGCGGUGUGUCGCGUCGGCCGUGAAAACCUGCAGCUUAACUGUGGGCUUGCGGUCGAUACGGGCAUCACUGGAGUUCGGCAGGGGAGACUGGAAUUCCUGGUGUAGCGGUGAAAUGCGUAGAGAUCAGGAAGAACACCCGUGGCGCAAGCGCCCACCUGGCCGUAACCUGACGCUGCGGCACGAAAGCGUGGGGAGCGAACCGG